GUCCUAGUUACCUGCCCAAACUUGACAUGGACGAGCGAGUUGAAGCACAAAGACUGAUGCAUCAGACAGACAUGGGGUCCAUGUCCCUGGCAUGUCCUGGAUGGUGGAGGGGAAGAGUGCCAUGUGUUGUACAUCAGCCACAAGCGGUCUGUGUGAGAGUAUCAGAGGUGGGAGUAAGUCACACAUGUGCAAGUCACAAGUGAAGAUGGAUAACGGCCGAUCAAGAGGAUUUGGCUUUGUGCGCUUUGUGUCUUCUAUGGAUGCCAUGAAGGCCAAAAUGGAGACAGGAUAUGAGACAAGAAUCUGGUGCACGGAUGUGGUUCAGCGUAAAGAGGAACACUAGGUUUUUUAUCAGAGCAAUGGACUCAUCGCACCAUCAACCUGUCAUUUAUCUCACUUACCCAUCACAGUUUGUCUGUGUUUCAUUGUGUAGACUGAAAACUACAGCUUUCAGCUUGUCUUGCUUGUUACUCAG